GCGCCCGUAGCUCAGCCGGAUAGAGCGUCGGUCUACGAAACCGAAGGUCACUGGUUCGAAUCCAGUCGGGCGCGC
rnacentral:tRNA from 1 species